CAGUAGCGUAUCUUAAAGUUGUUGCAGUUAAAAAGCUCGUAGUUGGACUUCUACAGAUUUUAUUUCUUUGCAGAGUUCUACGGUUUCUUAAUUGAGACUGAUAGUGACUUCUGCAAAUCUGUUUUUUGCUGUGACCCUGUCUACCCUUCAUUGGGUUGGACGGUGGCUGAUCAGCUCUUUUACUUUGAGAAAAAUAGCGUGCUCAAAGCAGGCGUCUUCGCCUUGAAUAUGUUAGCAUGGGAUAAUACCAAAGACUUUUCUUCUACGUUGUUGGUUAUGGAAGUGAAGUAAUGAGUGAUGGGAACGGCUUGGGGGUUUCGGUAUUCUAGAGGGAGAGGUGAAAUUCUUGGAUCUCUGGAAGACCACCUGCUGCGAAAGCGUUGACCAAAGACGUCUCCGUCAA
rnacentral:rRNA from 1 species